UAGGGAAUCUUCCGCAAUGGACGCAAGUCUGACGGAGCAACGCCGCGUGAGUGAUGAAGGUUUUCGGAUCGUAAAGCUCUGUUGCCCUAGACGAAUAGCAAGGCGAGUAACUGCGCUUUGUGUGACGGUAUAGGAGAAGAAAGCCCCGGCUAACUACGUGCCAGCAGCCGCGGUAAUACGUAGGGGGCAAGCGUUGUCCGGAAUUAUUGGGCGGAAAGCGCGCGCAGGCGGUCAUUUAAGUCUGGUGUUUAAUCCUGGGGCUCAAC
rnacentral:rRNA from 1 species